GGUUGUGCUAGACCAUGAUCAGUACGAUGCAGUAUAUAAAGAUCUGCCGACUGCUCACCAUAUUCUCCGCAAAGUGCCGAAUUGUUGAGUAUUGUGGUGCUAUAAAGUUUCCGAGUGAAGGUGAAUAUAUAUAUUCCAAAUGUGCCCAUUGAGCUUCGUCACUUGUUCACAAGCCAGAUAGACAGGGAUGCACUGUAUUUUAGAAAGAAUAUUCGAUAUUUCAACUCACACUUCUCAUUGACUCGAUCGUCGUCUCGCCACUGCUGCUGGUACGGAUGUUUAUACUUUCAAGGUACAUGGUCAGAUAUAUCAUAAGCUAGAUCAAUUAAAGCCCAGUGCAAAGAGUCCAAGGCACAUGCAACUAUAUUUUUAUGAUACGGAUGGGACUAUGGCACGUGAAGCACAUUGGUCUCCUCAUCUUGAUGCCAAGUUGAUUAGAACCAUUUUGGAUAUACAGAUACAGAAUAACAAUCCGUAUGUCCAUACAUUCCGACAUCUAGAUCAGGUGCCAAACCUUCAUGAAUACAAGAUUGAAUUGAAUGCGAGCAUUUCCGUGGACCAGAGGAGAUUUAAUGCACCGGCAAUGGAUCAGGUGGCCACCAUCUGCCAGGAUGGAUCAGAUGAGCAGCGUAAAUUUCAAAGGAGUAUAAUGGUACAUGCAAACUCAGGUCAUGCACAAUUUAUAAAAGCAUACUAUGGCUGCUAUAAUCCGUUGUGUUAUCCUCUAUUCUAUCCUGAGGAGAAACCAGUUGGGAGGAUAAAAAGAUAUUGUUGGAAGAAAUACAAGUGGUGCAUUUUCCAAGGAAAAGGAGAAAGUACACUAAGCGUAAAAAUUCAAAUACAAAUGGUGGAUUGCUGAAAGAUAAGGGUCAAUCUUCAUGUACAAGAGUUGAAACUACACAAGUUGAUAGAUAUAAAAGAAUGCCAUCAAGAAUUGUUGGUGGUGGUGCCG